CUUCUAAUAACUACCUUCGUAUGAACAGGAACCUUGAUAACAAUUGUGUUAUCACUCCUCAAUUCACAGUCCUGGAAACAAUGUCUGCCAUGGACAGUUUGUGAAAAUUCACUCCCAUCUCUACAGAGAGGACCUUGAAGCGGCUAGCCCUGAGAAGAGGGCUGACAUUCUUGGGGAUGGUCCAAAGAAGGUCUUUCCGAGAAUGAAGAAGAUGCAGAAAGGGCCACUAUAGCCAUGCCUCAGGCCAACUCUAACCUUGGCGUUUUCAAUUUCCCGAAUGAAGAACUUUCAUUGACCUGUUCAGAAGGGGAUCUGUUGAUUGCAACCAAGAGCCCUAAGGGCAAGCCACAGCUGUGUUCACCAUCACAAUCGUCCAGCUCUGCUUGUGGAAAGUGCUUGAUCUGACAGCAGAAAAGUAAUGCCUUCAAUUUGCCAAGAAGCACGAGUUGUUAGAAUCCUGACAAGUUGUUUUAAAGUUCCUGUAAUAGCAAAGCUAUUCUACUGAGUGGUUGUAAAAUAACUACAUUUGCAUUUUCUACACAAAAUUUCUAUCUUAGAAUUUUAUGUGAAAUAAAAGCCUGCUUCUUAU
rnacentral:lncRNA from 1 species